CGGGAAUCUCCGGCUGCGUCCGGCGCCGGUCGGGAGGGGGCGGCACCACGGCUGCGCUCCCUGCCGAGACCGCUCUCUAUUGGCUGCGGCCGAGUGGGGGGUGCGGGGUCCAUCCCGGCGGUCGCCGAGAGCCAGGCGGGGUCUGGGGGUUGGAUUAUGUCAUUCUUUUAUUUUUAGCUGCUUUCGGCUUCCCACUUCUCGCGCAACGCCCGCUGCGGCCGCGUGGUUGCGGGCAGGUCGAGCCGAGGGCCGUAGGAGACGGCUGUUAGGGAUCGGACCCACGCGAGGAGAGGGCGCGGGACUGCUCUGUUCCUCCGCUGUGCCUGCUGCUCUCACGGCUCGGACGGGAAUGGGGGACGCGGUUUGGAUGGGGCCCUGGGCAGCCUGGUCCGGUGGGAGGCAGCCCUGUCCACAGCAGGGGGUUGGAGAUUAUCAUCUUUGAGUUAUCUCUAGGAAACAUCAAAGUAUCUUCUAUCAUGGACGAGUCAAAUGAACACAAAGCAAUGGGCACAGGAAAGUGUUUCAAAUUAGCAUCCCGCUGGCAGAAGCGGUUGCAACGUGAAUUCCUUUCUAGCCGGCCUAGCAGCAGCCACCAAGCAGAAACCAACUGGAAUAAAUGCUUCUGCUCCUGAGCAAGCUGGAAGCAGACCUGGGAGCAGGAAUUAGAUGAUAUUCUACACCAGCACAGAAUAAACUGUGUGAGAAUGAGAGAAAAUGGGAUCGGUGAAUGAAAAGGGUUAAUAUAAUGAGUAAAGAAAAAAAAUGGAUAUCCUGGAAAUUCCAUAAUUCAAGCUCUUAGUUACUUCAGAGCAAGGUGGUACUCAGAAUUAUUUGUUUUCUGAAUUUAAAUUGACUUUUUAUGUGCAACAGUGGAAAUUAAUGGUUUCCGCUGUUGUUGUCGAUUGUCAUCUGAAGUCAGUUGUGCCAUUACUGGCUUUGCAAGACUGUUCUGUCCAUCAGCUAUUUGAAAAGGGGAUGCUGCCCUUUUUUCUUCUCCACCUUGUUGUUCAUCCAGCAAACUGCACAACUGAUUGCCAGUGGCUGCUGAAAAGCCAAGGUCUGUUUGAAAAAUUUUGAAGGUUGUGGGAGGACUGAAGUUUGUCCCUUCCACUAUCAUCUCUACCUGCUGAAAAGCAGAAGAUGCUUCUUUUGUUUACUACAUGGGUGCCCUGAGCCAUGCCUCCCUCUGGAAGAGCCUCUCAUCUAUACAAAACUGAGGGAAUCUGGAACAGUUCCCAGCUCCAAGGAUUUUGUUUUGUGCAUUGAUUGAUAUCAAGUGGUUGCAAUUUACAUUCUUUACCUGCACUAGAGGCCAUCCUCACAGAGAUGCCUUCAACAGCCAAAUGCAUUCAUAACCUUUGCAGUGUUCAAAAGGACUGUCGCAAUAGUUGUGUUCAUGCUUACAUUCAUGAUACAACAUUUACUGAAGAAUAAAUUAAAUUGAUAAAGAUAGGAAAAUGAUAUUCUGGUUGAGUUACUAAACACUUGUAAUUAAGUAUGGAUAUCAUGCACAAGGUAUUAAUAUUGUGACUUUAGGGAAUCAAGUUUCUUAGUCCAGUUUUUCUUGAUAAUCUUAGUCUUAAAACUUCCCAGGAAGGUGAGGGGAGAGUACAAAUUGUCUAUGUGGAGAACAAUGCAUAUGGAAAAGUUGUGUGAGUUUGCAUACAUUGGAAGCUUGGCAUUAGAGAAUAGCCUUGUUCUCCAUCCUCAGCUCCAGCUUUGCUUCUCUCAGUUUUUGUCAGUCUCCGAUUGCUUUUUGCACCAAUUACAGUGAUAAAGUCAGUAGAAGAAGAAUACUCUUAUUAAAUAAAAUAUUUUAAGGGUACUGUGACCUGCUAAACAUCAAUAUUGCUAAGACUGAGAGACUAUUUUUAAUAAAUUGCUUAACCAGGAUUUUUUAAAUCUAAAUAAAUUGAAAUACUCUUUAUUUUGUGAAUGUACACACAUAUAUAUAAAGGCAUUUGAUUUUAUGGAAGUAAAUUGUUCCAAAAGAUUUACACCUGAGAAAGAUAAAAGCUGUAAAAUGUGUACUGUUUCAUUUGUGUCCUUUGUUUUUCACGUGUGGUGCCUUGGGUUGAACAAUCAUUCUAAAACCAUUAUAUCAGUGCACAAAGAUCUUUAUUCUAGGCAAAGAUACCUCUUGUGAAGAAAGAAGUGUGCACAGUAUGCAGACUGAGAAGUACCACAUGUCACCUCAUGGUUCAUCUCUAAAGGAAUAUGCAAGCUGGAUAUUGCUCAAGUUCUUUUCCUUCACCAUUUGCUGUCCACUUAAUGAAGACAAAGAUUGCCUCGUUUUUGGAAGGCAAUAAAUAAAGAAGAGCAACAGCUGGAAUUUAAGUCACUGAUAUUUGCAAGGUUUCAGGAGAAGUAAACUAGGAACUCCUUCAUUUGGAUGAGCAUCAGACAGGAGAUAACACUGAUCUGUCUGCAUGGCCAGUCGGAGUUGUCUCAUUGCUCAGAAUCAAAAAAGCCUUCAAUUAUGGGAAGGAAAAAAGAGUCAACAGCCAAUUUUUUAGAAUAUAGUUCACUUGUCACAGUCAUUCACAAGUUUUACUACCCACUUUUAUUUGCAAACUAAAACGUAGGCUGUGACAGUGUGAGGAUGAGAGUUCCACAUGGGCAUUUUAAAGGAAAAUAUAUAUGAACUUCCCUUCAACUUAGCCAGCCUGUACGAACUGCUUCUUACUUAUAUUAUUUUUCUGUAGCAGGCUUUUGGCAGGUUCCAAACGAAUCUAUAACGCAGAAGUGCUUGUGAAAAGUUGUAGAGAAUGCCCUACCAGUUGCUACUGUGCUUUUGGGAUGACAAGGCUUCUUUCAAGUUUGUAGCAGUUAAGGAAAGCAACCGAAGUUAUUAAUGUGUAGCACCUCCAAGUUGCUAUCUGGAUUCUUAUCUACAUUGCGCUUGUGUUAUAGAAACAUUUGUCAACUUCAAAUUUUUCUCCAAGCACAAGAUGCAUCUCUGUUAUCUGCAGAGUUGCACUGAGCCAUUUUCUAAGAGUUAUGAUUAUUAUCUCCACAUUCUCUGCAGUAGCUUCUAUCUCUUUUUGAAAGUGCACUGCAGUUGUCUUGAGCGCUGUUAAGUCUGUGUGGUCCCCUUAUGGUAUGUUUGCAAGGGUGGAUAGUGAUAGGACAAGGGGGAAUGGUUUUAAACUGAGACAGGGGAGGUUUAGCUUAGACAUUAGGAGGAAGUUUUUCACACAGAGGGUGGUGACGCACUGAAACAGGUUGCCCAAGGAGGUUGUGGGUGCCCCAUCCCUGGAGGCAUUCAAGGCCAGGCUGGAUGUGGCUCUGGGCAGCCUGGUCUGGUGGUUGGUGACCCUGCACAAAGCAGGGGGGUUGAAACUGGAUGAUCAUUGUGGUCC
rnacentral:lncRNA from 1 species